rnacentral:rRNA from 1 species
UGGGGAAUCUUGCACAAUGGGGGCAACCCUGAUGCAGCGACGCCGCGUGAGCGAUGAAGGUUUUCGAAUCGUAAAGCUCUGUCCUAUGGGAAGAUAAUGACGGUACCAUAGGAGGAAGCCCCGGCUAACUACGUGCCAGCAGCCGCGGCAAUACGUAGGGGGCGAGCGAUGUCCGGAAUUACUGGGCGUAAAGGGUUCGCAGGCGGCAUGGCAAGUCCGAUGUAAAAGGCGAAGGCUCAACCUUCGUAAGCAUCGGAAACUGUCAAGCUUGAGUUAAGGAGAGGCAAGUGGAAUUCCUAGUGUAGCGGUGGAAUGCGUAGAUAUUAGGAGGAAUACCGGUGGCGAAGGCGACUUGCUGGACUUCAACUGACGCUGAGGAACGAAAGCGUGGGUAGCAAACAGG